rnacentral:rRNA from 1 species
GAUGAACGCUGGCGGCGUGCCUAAUACAUGCAAGUCGAGCGAACAGAUGAGGUACUUGCUCCUCUGACGUUAGCGGCGGACGGGUGAGUAACACGUGGGGAACCUACCUAUGAGACUGGGAUAACUUCGGGAAACCGGAGCUAAUACCGGAUAAUAUAUUUAACCACAUGGUUCAAUAGUGAAAGACGGUUUUGCUUUCACUUAUAGAUGUAUCCGCGCCUCAUUAGCUAGUUGUUAAGGUAACGGCUUACAAAGCCGACGAUGCGUAGCCGACCUGGGAGGGGGAUCGCCCACACUGGAACUGAGACACGGUCCAGCCUCCUACGGGAGGCAGCAGUAGGGAAUCUUCCGCAAUGGGCGAAAGCCUGACGGAGCAACGCGGCGUGAGUAAUGAAGGUCUUCGGACCGAAAAACUCUGUUAUUAGGGAAGAACAAAUGUGUAAGUAACUAUGCACGACUUGACGGUACCUAAUCAGAAAGCCACGGCUAACUACGUG